CGGCCAAGCUGGCUGAGGGCUUGGCAGCGAACCUAGGAGGGGCACAGAGGGUCACAGUGAGCGGGAGGCCUGGGGCCAGGCAGCCGGGGGGCCUUGCGGAGUUCAUCCCGGCAUCUGUGGGAAGCGCGGAAGAUGCGGAGCAAGGAGCCGUCAGAGGGACAGGGCAGGGGAGAGCCUCAGCCCCAGGCCAGUGAGAGGAGACUCCUGGAGCUGUGGGAGCAGAGAUUACACACAGGGGUCAUUCAAGACCUGCCUCCGCUGCUUACAAGUUCAGGACCUUGGGAGGUAGGCGUCCAGCAGCAGGUGCGAAGGAAUCGAUGCCUCCCCCCACAGCACAUGUGACGUCUCCGCAUCCACGCAGGUGACCUGCAUCUUGACAAACCUCUCUGGCUUGAAAACCCUCCUACUGCAGCUGCAGAGUGGAAAGCACCUGCAUCUCAGGGCCAGAGACCUGGAUGCGAGGGCAGGCCUAUUCUCUACAGGCUGGACCAUCACGCCUCUGAGCCAACAGGCCCUUGAGGUCACGUGGAGCUGAUCCCUCGCCCAGGCUGGCUGUGAGGAUUAGAGGCGUUUUAUCUUGUGCAGGGGAUGCGGGGCAUAGAGAUACCACCCCAAAGGCAGCCACAGAGGCCUCGCUCAACAUGCUCUUCCUGGGGGGGCCUCCCGAGCACAUAUGUGUGCAAUUUCCCCUUAUUGUUCUAUAAUCCUUGAUGGUUGCUCUGUAAUUGCUCUCAAAUGGUUUCAUUAUAAUAAAUAGCAUCUGCAGAGCA
rnacentral:lncRNA from 1 species